AACGCACAUUGCGCCCUCUGGUAUUCCGGGGGGCAUGUCUGUUCGAGCGUCAUUACAACCCUCAAGCUUUGCUUGGUAUUGAGCUUUGCCUGCUAAAGGCAAGCUUAAAAAUCAGUGGCAAUGCCUUUCAGCUUUGAGCGUAGUAAAUUUUCUCGCUACGAAGUCUGGAUGAGUAGUCGCCAUAACCCCAUAUUUUUAAAGGUUGACCUCGGAUCAGAUAGGGAUACCCGCUGAACUUAA
rnacentral:misc_RNA from 1 species